GUAGUCUCGCACAGAUGCAUAUCAAUAAGCGGAGGAAAAGAAACUAACAAGGAUUCCCCUAGUAACGGCGAGUGAAGCGGGAAGAGCUCAAAUUUGAAAUCUUAAAGGGUUUCCCUUUACGAAUUGUAGUUUAAAGAAGUGUUUUCUGUUGAGGUUUUGGUAAAAGUUCUUUGGAAUAGGACAUCAUAGAGGGUGAGAAUCCCGUAUUUGACCUUUACUUUCAACUUUGUGAUACACUCUCAAAGAGUCGGAUUGUUUGGGAAUGCAGUCCAAAAUGGGUGGUAAAUUUCAUCUAAAGCUAAAUAUUGGCGAGAGACCGAUAGCGAACAAGUACCGUGAGGGAAAGAUGAAAAGAACUUUGAAAAGAGAGUUAAACAGUACGUGAAAUUGUCAAAAGGGAAGCGUUUGACACCAGUGUUGUUUUUCUGAAAAUCAAUUAAAGAACUGUUUAUGCUAAGUUGUUUAGACUUUAUCAGCUAUCUGUUUAGUUUUGAGCUUUUCUUUAAUGCACUUUUCAGUUAACAAGUCAACAUCAAUUUCUUUUGCUGUAAAAAAGCUUGAGGAAGGUGGCUUGAGAUUCGUCUUAAGUGUUUAUAGCCUCUUGCCUAUGCAGUCGGAGAGAUUGAGGUCUGCAGCGUAGAUCCUUCGGGGCUAAAUGCAUUUGUGCUAAGUUAUAGCAUUUUAUAGACAACUUGUUGACUAUGAUUUGUCUUGUAGCUUACUCGCUUAUGUUAUUUUACCUACGCUUAGGAUGUUGACGCAUGAGAUAUACGC
rnacentral:rRNA from 1 species